GAUGAACGCUGACAGAAUGCUUAAUACAUGCAAGUCAACUUUGUCGGACUGGUGUGUAACGCGUAAAGAACUUUCCUCACAGUUAGGGACAACUUUUGGAAACGAAUGCUAAUACCUGAUACUGUGAGAGGGCUUUGCGUCCCAUUAGCUAGUUGGAGAGGUAACGUCUCACCAAGGCGAUGAUGGGUAGCCGGCCUGAGAGGGUGAUCGGCCACAAGGGGACUGAGACAGGGCCCUUAGUCCUACGGGAGGCAGGUGGGGGGAAUAAUGGACAAUAGACCAAAGUCUGAUCCAGCAAUUCGGUGUGCACGAGGUAGUUUUCGGAAUGUAAAGUGCUGUCAGUUGGGAAGCGGUACCAACAGAGGAAGUGACGGCUAAAUACGUGCCAGCCGCCGCGGUAAUUC
rnacentral:rRNA from 1 species